rnacentral:rRNA from 1 species
UACAGAGGUCCCAAGCGUUGUUCGGAUUCACUGGGCGUAAAGGGUGCGUAGGCGGCCGGGUAAGUCUGAUGUGAAAUCCCGCAGCUCAACUGCGGAACUGCAUCGGAUACUCUCCGGCUAGAGGAAUGGAGGGGAGACUGGAAUUCUCGGUGUAGCAGUGAAAUGCGUAGAUAUUCGGAAGAACACCAGUGGCGAAGGCGACUCACUGGACACAUAUUGACGCUGAGGUGCGAAAGCGUGGGGAGCAAACAGG